rnacentral:rRNA from 1 species
CCUACGUGGAGCUGCAGUGAGGAAUAUUGGUCAAUGGGCGCGAGCCUGAACCAGCCAAGUAGCGUGAAGGAUGACUGCCCUACGGGUUGUAAACUUCUUUUAUAAAGGAAUAAAGUGAGGCACGUGUGCCUUUUUGUAUGUACUUUAUGAAUAAGGAUCGGCUAACUCCGUGCCAGCAGCCGCGGUAAUACGGAGGAUCCGAGCGUUAUCCGGAUUUAUUGGGUUUAAAGGGAGCGUAGAUGGGUUGUUAAGUCAGUUGUGAAAGUUUGCGGCUCAACCGUAAAAUUGCAAUUGAUACUGGCAGUCUUGAGUACAGUGGAGGUAGGCGGAAUUCGUGGUGUAGCGGUGAAAUGCUUAGAUAUCACGAAGAACUCCGAUUGCGAAGGCAGCUUACUAAACUGCCACUGACAUUGAUGCUCGAAAGUGUGGGUAUCAAACAGGAUUAGAUACCCCAGUAGUC